rnacentral:rRNA from 1 species
ACUGAGAAGAGUAGUGGCGAACGGGUGAGGUAACACGUGGGGUAACCUGCCCAUAAAGAGGGGGAUAACAAUCCGGAAACGGGUGCUAAUACCGCAUAGUUUUCUUGAUCGCAUGAUCGGAAAGGAAAGACGGCCUUGUGCUGUCGCUUAUGGAUGGACCCGCGGCGUAUUAGUUAGUUGGUGAGGUAACGGCUCACCAAGACGAUGAUACGUAGCCGACCUGAGAGGGUGAUCGGCCACAUUGGGACUGAGACACGGCCCAAACUCCUACGGGAGGCAGCAGUAGGGAAUCUUCCGCAAUGGACGAAAGUCUGACGGAGCAACGCCGCGUGAGUGAAGAAGGUUUUUCCGGAUCGUAAAACUCUGUUGUCAGAGAAGAACAAGUUGGAGAGUAACUGCUCCAGCCUUGACGGUAUCUGACCAGAAAGCCACGGCUAACUACGUGCCAGCAGCCGC